rnacentral:rRNA from 1 species
AUUGAACGCUGGCGGCAUGCCUUACACAUGCAAGUCGAACGGCAGCACGGGAGCAAUCCUGGUGGCGAGUGGCGAACGGGUGAGUAAUAUAUCGGAACGUGCCCAGUCGUGGGGGAUAACGCAGCGAAAGCUGUGCUAAUACCGCAUACGAUCUAUGGAUGAAAGCGGGGGAUCGCAUGACCUCGCGCGAUUGGAGCGGCCGAUAUCAGAUUAGCUAGUUGGUGAGGUAAAGGCUCACCAAGGCGACGAUCUGUAGCUGGUCUGAGAGGACGACCAGCCACGCUGGAACUGAGACACGGUCCAGACUCCUACGGGAGGCAGCAGUGGGGAAUUUUGGACAAUGGGCGAAAGCCUGAUCCAGCAAUGCCGCGUGCAGGAUGAAGGCCUUCGGGUUGUAAACUGCUUUUGUACGGAACGAAACGGUGAGCUCUAAUACAGUUUGCUAAUGACGGUACCGUAAGAAUAAGCACCGGCUAACUACGUGCCAGCAGCCGCCGUAACAC